GCCUUCUUAGUUCAGUGGUUAGAAUUUUUCACUAGUACCACUCACUCCUAUGAGUUGCUAAGAUGAAAGGGUCACCCGUUCAAUUCGGGUAGAAGGCA